rnacentral:lncRNA from 1 species
GAAGAGAGAAUGACGCGGAUAUUUUUAAGAUAUUUGAAGCCGGAGAUACGUCAAUAUCUUAUUUCUCAUAAACUAUGUUUGUAUUCAGAUGUUGUAAAUAUGGCUCAGUUAGUGAAGCGCGAUAACGAGUCAACGCAACCAAAAGAGAGCAGCCGGCAAAAAUGAUAAUACCGGUGAUAAUAGUCAUCAAAGCGGUGACAAUAAGCAUGGAG